rnacentral:misc_RNA from 1 species
CUUCCCCUUUAUGUGCCAUCAUAGAAGUUUGUUCUGCCAUGGCGGAAACAGGCCCAUCGGCUCCAGCCAGAGAUGUGGCGUUGCUGGAACCGCCCUUGUCUCUCUCAGCUAGCGGGGAGGCGCUGUCGUCGCCGCCGCAGCCGAGCACCACCCCCGCCGCUGCGGCCUCACCCACGCCGGAAGAGCAGCUCCGCGCGCUCGAAGUCAAGAUGGGCAAGUGGAAGGAGGCGGUGACCACCCAGCUCAACGACGCGGCCCGCAAGAAUAAGAAGCUCCGCGAAGAGCUCCGCCUUCUCCGCGAGGAGAAGGCAAAUGCGCUGAGCGGGCUGCGGGUGCAGCUGACAGAGGAAUUCCAGGAGCGCACCGCGAUGCAGCGGGACGAGUUGGAGGCGCUGAAGAAGCAGGCCGCCGCGUUGCGGGAGGAGAAGAAGACGAUGGCCGCCACGCACGAGGCGGAGCUGCAGGCGGCACGUACGAAGCUGCGCGAGGUGAUCCAACUGGAGCUGGAGACGGAGUACAAACGCAGAGAGGGGGAUUGGGAGAAGGAGAAGACGCAGUUGCAGAUGCUCACGGCAGCGAAGGAAACGGAGCGGGCACAGGCGGAGCACGAGUGUGGCGUGCUGCAGCUGCGACUGAACAGACUCGGCACCCAGUACGAUGAGCUCGCAACGCUGCUUCAGCCAGAGUGUGGCUUCACGGCGGAGACGUGCGUGCUGGAAGCAGGCGACCACGCAGCCGACGGAACGAGGUCCGAAAGCGCGUCACCUGCUGCUGCUGCUGCUGCUGGAGCCUCCGGAACCGGCUCAGCCGCCUUCAACGCCAAUGGCAGCAACGCUGAGCGGCAGAAGACGGCUAUGGCAGCGGCACACGCUAGGCAAAUGGAAAGCAUCAAGGCCGAUCUGCAAAGCAAAGAGCAGCGCACGCAGUUCCUGCUGGGCCGCGCCAAGCAGGAGCACGAGGCGGAGAAGACGCAACUGCUGCGAGAACUGCACCUGCGGGAGGAGGAGCUCAAGGUAGCACACACACUGCUGAAGCAGGUGCAGGUGGAGAACAGUCGGUACAUGGAGCGUGUCUCGCACGCUCAAACAGAGCGGCAGGCGCUGGAGCAGCGAUAUGCAGCGAAGGUGUCCGCCCUCAGUCAGGAACUAGCGGAGCGCAUUCAGGCCGCUGACGAGGUGCAGUUGGCCAACAAGCGCCUGCAAGAGCAACUUCGCACCUCCCAGCAGCAAGUCGCCACGUUGGAGGAAGAGUCCACGAUGCGCGAGGAGGCUUUCCAUUCGCUCAUGUUCUCGGAGGACAGCAAGCGAAUCACGAUGGACUUGCAGCGGGCCCUCCAGGCUGCGCGGGACGAGGCGGAGGAAUGGAAGAUGCAGUACUACGCCAGCGUCACAGCCUCACAGCCUCCCUCAGCGGCAGUAGCAGCAACGUCGCAAGGGGGUCCCUCCCCGCAGAAAUCAGCCGAGGCUGAUGGCGAGCACGAAUCUGCCGCUGCAACUGCCCCAGCAGCAGCGGUUCGCACACCUGAGGCGUGGCAUGACCAACUCGCCGCCAGGGAAGCGAAUCUCGAUUUGCAGGCGGCGCAGCUGGCCCGCAAGGCUGCCCUUCUGGCGGCUGCGGAGGCGAAACUGAACAAGAUGCGCAGCUCCAUGGCAAGUCAGGCCAGCCUGCUCCUACAGCAGAGUAAGAGUGGUGGUCGUGCUGGUGGUAGCAGUGGCGUCGGUGGUCCUCACGGUCGUCGUGAGAAUGGUGACAGCGGCGUAUUCACCGGAGGCGGUGACAGGAGCAACGCGGAAGACGACGAUAGCGACCGCGGCCUCGCCGACACAUCGCCGCUCAUCUCCACGGCGGCAUCAUUGCUUCCAUCUAGCCUGCAUGGCUCACUGCGCCUGCUAGAGGCGCAGCGGCGGCGUCUACACCUCCCAGGCACGUGCGGCCUGUGCGCCUGUUGCUUCUCGGGCGGCGGCACCACCGGUGUUCCUCGGCGUCUCCGUCGCAAUGCAUUUCUGACCAUAGUGGCAGCACUCAUGCUGCUCUUCAUGCUGGCCAGCUUCAGGGUCGUGGCGUAGCGCGUGCCAUCGGUGUUCAUGGUGGUGCGUGUAUUCGCUGUAUUUGUUCUUGUGCUUCAUGCGCGCAGCCAUGCAACUAUCACGUCCUUUGUUCACGGUUGCAGACGCUCACGGUCGCUUCAUCCUCCCAGUCAACCUCAUCCCAUCUACCAAAUUCGCCGGCCGUUCCCUCCCCCCCCCGCCGCCCCACCUUGGCUGAUGAUGCUAGAACCGAGGCACCAAGGGAAGAGGUGGGAAGGGGGGGAGUGGCAGGAGUAUGGCAGGAGGUCGUCGAGCACUCCGUAGUUGAGGCAGUGGCUGACUGACGAGUGGAUCGUGUGCCGGCAUCCCUCUUGCUGGGCGCCCUCCUCCCCCAUCCCCCUCUGUCGACCACCUAGCGCUGCUGCACACACGCACCCCGUUGAAAGUGGAGGUGCGCAGCAGCGCGUGAGGAAAGCGAAGGCGGCAGACGGUACCGUCCGCUGGCUCGUUUUUCCCUUUGCUUCUGUCAGGUUGCGCGUCGCGCUCCUCUUCGGCUUCGCCCAUUCUCGCACUCGAACAUCGAAAGUGGCAACUCCACUCCUGUACCGCGGGCACUUGCGCGACAGGGCCGUCCGCGAAAACACACAGAGACGUACAGGCUGGAGCUGCUCUGUAUGGGCUCGUUUCUCCGCGGAUGAUCGCCCCCCCCACCCUCUCUGUGGAUGGGCUUGUGGGUUUUGUCAAAGCCGUGUCGGAGUCCUCAACCAAGUGCCUGCGCGCAAGAGCAGGCUCAUACGCACCUUGAGCAUACCCCACCGCCCGUAUUUCUCAUGAAUCCCAUGGUAACCUAUAUCUGCGUGAAUGGAUGGCGCCUCUGCCGGCGCUUCGAUCUGCCCCGCCUCUCCUUUUCACUGUCGUGUGAUUUUCUCG